GCGUCGGUAGUGCAACGGUUCGAGCACGCGCCCCGGAUAAGGUUAAAUGUGGGUUCGAGUCACAACUGACGCA